GAUGAACGUUGGCGGCGUGCCUAAUACAUGCAAGUCGAACGGAGAUUGUAGCAAUACGGUCUCAGUGGCGAACGGGUGAGUAACGCGUUGGUGACCUGCCCCGAAGUGUGGAAUAACAGAUCGAAAGAGCUGCUAAUACCGCAUAAUAUCCAGAAGAUUAGAUGCUUUUGGAUUAAAGGAUUUAUUCGCUUCGGGAGGGGCCUGCGUCCCAUCAGCUAGUUGGUAAGGUAAAGGCUUACCAAGGCUAUGACGGGUAGGGGACCUGAGAGGGUGGCCCCCCACAAUGGAACUGAAACACGGUCCAUACACCUACGGGUGGCAGCAGUAGGGAAUAUUAGUAAUGGGCGAAAGCCUGAACUAGCAACGCCGCGUGUGCGAAGAAGGCCUUCGGUUGGUAAAGCACUUUUUGUAGAGGAUGAGGAAGGACGGUACUCUCAGAAUAAGUCUCGGCUAACUACGUG
rnacentral:rRNA from 1 species